ACUCAAGGGAAGGUUUCGUUCUUUCGUGUGUGCGUUUUUUUAACAAAAGUAAUCUUGUUCAUUUAUUUCUGUAAAAUGAAUGCACUGAACUGUAUUAAGGCAAACGAUGUGCCAAAAACUAUUACGGUACCAAGAACCGACACCGACACUGAGAGCCUGAUUUUAAGUCAUUGGUGCAAUUCCACGUGUGAGGCUGUUAAGCUUUAUUUCGAGUGGACGAUUCAACAUUUUAAACGAGUGAAAUAUGAAGAAAUUGUAUCAGAUAGUUUUGCAGCAAAAGAAACCCCCUAUCUACAGUGGAAUCUGCAUUUCUUGUCCCAUCGAUAUUUCAAACUCGUGUUGAAGAAGAAUGAGGAAUCUAAUCUUCAAAACGUUGCUCAUCCAGUUACAAUCGAAUAUAAUUUUUUUAUUCUAAACUCAGAAGGUGUUCGAGUUAUCUGGAGUAAAGGACUUCAUUCGUUUCCCAACAGUGGUAACUUAUAUAUUGAAACGGGCAUGUCCAUGGAAGACUAUGACGGUUAUCUGACUGAUGAAGCUCAUUUUACCAUGCACUGUAAAAUCGUAACUUGGAUUAAUCGAAAAACCACAACAGGAGAAUUUUCACGUGAAUUGCCUGUAGUACUUCCUAAUAAUGACGAACUGAUCAACGAUUUGAGUGGACUAUUCGGAAAUGAAAAGCACAGUGAUGUUCUUUUCGAUAUUCGUGGCCAACAAUUCAAGGCUCACAAGAACAUCUUAUCUGCUAGAAGUUCAGUCUUUUCGGAAAUGUUUCAACACGAAGGAUUGGAGGCGUCGCAUCAGGUCAAUAUUCAAGACAUUGAUCCCGAAGUGUUUCAGGAAGUCCUUCGUUUCAUUUACACCGGCCAUGUGCUUUCAACCAAAAUGGAUGCUUUGGGGCUAGGACUUUUGGCUGCUGGCGAAAAAUACCUUCUCAAAAACCUCAAAAACGCUUGCGAAAAACAUUUGGUGAAUUCGUUGUCAACAGAAAAUUGUGUGGAAUUUCUUUUGGCAGCCAAAAGCCAUUCUGCAGCUUAUUUGAAGAAGAAUGCCUUGGAUUUUCUUCGUCGUUUCCCUCAUGAAGUACAGGCGACAGACGCAUGGAAAAAAGCUGAACAAGCUCACAUUUUCUUGCGUAACAUCCAUGCGAUAGACAUGGGGCUGCUCCAUAGACAUGGAGGAGCUACUCCACCAGCAUGCAAGAAAAGAAAAUAAUAAUCUCCCUCGCAAAACGUUCGUCCAAAAAUCCAGAAAAUAUUUUGUAUUGUUUUUCACUUAAAUUGCAUCAUCAAAAUACCUAGCAAAAAGGUUUCUCGCAAUCUGGACAAUUUCAGACAUGUCUUCUUAUCCCCCAUCUUGUUUUUCGCUGUAAGCCCUCCCCCCUUCUUCCUAUUCCCUUGAUGGCAUCCUAUUGGCUGUUGAAAUUCACCCUCACCCCCUUUCUUCAACGUUGUGGGAAAAUUCGUCACGUUGCUUGCAACACGAGGUCAUUCAGUCUUAGUCUUUCUUGAUAGAACGUUCUGUUUCACGUGGUCAGCGUGUGGUGAUUGCAAUAUUAACUGGAAUUGACUAAAAGAUUUGUUUCGAAAUGGCUCAUAAUAAUCAUGUGAAGGUUGGUGAGUUGAUUAGUGACGAGCCUCUCGAUUUGAGCAUGAAAAAGAGUCGACAUGACAUGAUGCAAUAUGUUCGUAGUCCUCUCGUGGUCCAACCCAAAACGUUGCAACCACCAAAAGUCGUGGUGGCUCGAAUUUGGCAGACUAAUGUAGUGAUACGAUCACUAAUAGACUCCCCGCAACAAGUGCAACAACUGCAACAUCCCGAGGUACCGAAGGAGAAGCCCAUCCCAAAAGCACAACCCAGGAAAAGGUUUCGUUUCAAUCAUUACCAGAUCGGUGUCAUGGAACGUGUUUUUGAAAUUAAAAAAUUUCCAUCAUCCGCCGAGAUAAUCGAAACUGCCAACCUGCUUGGGGUCACGGAAUACCAAGUCAGAAAUUGGUUUACCAGGCGCUGCUCUAAAUGGAAGAGAGAGUUCAAGCGUACGGCCAAACUUGUAAGGAUCGCUCCGGCCCCUGCACAAGAGUCUUCACCAUCUUCAUCCUUUCAUCCAUCAUCUUCAUCAUCAACGUUCUAAAGAUGCAGAGGAAUCAACAAACUUCCAGAUUCAUCACCCACUCACUUUGACCAGGUUGAUGUCCAUUCCAUUUUGAUAACUUCUUCUUACUACUGCGAAACCUCAGAAACGCUUACAGAAAAGAAAGAAAAUUCAGUCAUUUAGUAAAUAGUCAGGUGCUAUCAUCAAGAAUAAUGUGUCAUGGCCUACUCCCUUCUUAUGUUUUAAAUAGUGUGUCAUUACCGAGAGAAUACCCUGUGAUAAUUAGUGUUGUUGGAUCGCAAGUUUACCUCAGGAAGUCUCUGGGGGAAAUCGUUUAAUUUGCUAAAUAUCCAUUUUAAUUUAUGACCAGUUUGUUCGAACGUGUUAACCUAGAGAAUCCCGCCCUCGUUGGAAACAAGCAAAAGUUACCUUGUUCUACAUUGAGUAAAUAAAUAAUUCAGUACCAUCA